AUCGGUGACAGGUGGUGCAUGGUUGUCGUCAGCUCGUGUCGUGAGAUGUUGGUUAAGUCCGCAACGAGCGCAACCCCUAUUGUUAGUUGCCAUCAUUCAGUUGGGCACUCUAGCGAGACUGCCGGUAAUAAACCGGAGGAAGUGGGGAUGACGUCAAAUCAUCAUGCCCCUUAUGACCUGGGCUACACACGUGCUACAAUGGUUGGUACAACGAGUUGCGAGUCGGUGACGGCGAGCUAAUCUCUUAAAGCCAAUCUCAGUUCGGAUUGUAGGCUGCAACUCGCCUACAUGAAGUCGGAAUCGCUAGUAAUCGCGGAUCAGCACGCCCGCGGUCGAAUACGUUCCCGGGCCUU
rnacentral:rRNA from 1 species